rnacentral:lncRNA from 1 species
GGAGGUGCUAAUAUUUUAUUAGCAAGCUUUGGAGGUUGUUCUUCUCUGUUUGUCUUGCUGACAAAGGCAAGACUAUGUACAACCACUGCGUGAUGCCAAAGCCUGAUCUUGCUUUUCCCCAUGCUUGCAUCUACCCCUCCACCCAUGGGUGUGGGGAUUGCCCUGUCAGGCCGAUAUCAUGCAGUUGUGUCCAUGCAGACCCUGCUGCCCAUCCAUGGUCUGCUGCUUCCACAAAUGAGCAACCCAGUAUUCCUGUCACACACGAGCCCACGGCAUGUUCCUGGGCAAGAGGAGCUGGAGAUGCUGCACUGAACUGAAACUCUUUCUGUCACCCCAUGAAGAACAUGUCAUUGUACCAGAGGUGAUGUCAUUGUAAAGAUGAUGUCCUUGUACUGGAGGCAGUGUCCCCAAGUCAGCUUCCUCUUGGAUGACUUAUCCUUCUUCUUAACCAGAAGCAGCGGUUGCUGGCCACCACGCUGCCCAGCCUGCACUCCCGGGGAGGUGAGCAGGAGUUGCUCCUGAGGCUGCAGCACCCUGCAGGAUUGAUGUGUCCCUCGGGGAAGCCCUGGGGUUUUGCAGGCUGUCCCACCGGGUACACCAGCAUCUGCUUCCCGCAUCCUUCUGUGGGCCUUGGCAUCCCGCAGGCCCUCCCCCUGGAACCCCUGUAUGUCCCUUCUGCGAAGUUCGGUUACAGCACGCCAUCCUGCCGUGGACCCGGCCCUGGUGGAUAACCUUCCCCGGGGACGCCAUCUUCCCGGGAGUUCGCAGUGUCCCUCCAGGAGACCGCCGUGUCUGGACCCACAUCUCUCCUGGGAACCGACAGCUGACCGUUCCCCAGUGGUGCCGGCAUCCUGUCCCGCGGGAACCGCUGUGUCCCUCUGCUCGGCGUUCCGCCCGCGGGUCCGCAGCGCCCCGGGGGCUCAGCCGCAGCACCCCUCGGCCCCGGCCCCAUCCCCGGCCCCGAGAGAGUGGCGGGGGCCGCGCUGCGCCUCCUCGUAGCUGGGCAGGUGCUUCACCUCCUCGUAGCGGGGCAGCGGCGGCAGCUCCAGCCCCGGCCCCGGCCCCGGCGGGGCGGCGGGACCCACCGCGUCCAGCAGCGCGUCCGGCGGGGCGGCGGGGCCGGGACCGGGGCCGAGCGAGGGCCGGCGGCGGGCGGGCAGGGGGCGGCGGCGGGGCGCGGGGCAGGCGCGGCGGCGGAGGACGCAGCCGGCGGCCACUAGUGCCAGGAGGACUAGCAGCGCUGCCAGCCUCCGCGCCAGCCACCGCGCCUGCGGAAGCCAUGCGCGCCCCGCCGCCGGCCGGGCCCCGGCCCCGACCCCGCUGCAGCCACCCCGCCCGCACGGCACCGGCCCCCGCCCGCCCGCCAUCCUCCGCGCACCGCGCAACUCGUGUCCGGUCCCGGCGCGCACCUUCCGCGGAGCCGGC